rnacentral:tRNA from 1 species
AGGGUUGUAGCUCAGUGGUAGAGCACUUGCCUUGUGCGCAAGAAGCCCCAAAUUCAAUGCCCAAUACUG